AGUCGAACGGCAGCGCGGGGCAACCUGGCGGCGAGUGGCGAACGGGUGAGUAAUAUAUCGGAACGUACCCAAGAGUGGGGGAUAACGUAGCGAAAGUUACGCUAAUACCGCAUACGAUCUAGGGAUGAAAGUGGGGGAUUCGCAAGAACCUCAUGCUCCUGGAGCGGCCGAUAUCUGAUUAGCUAGUUGGUGAGGUAAAGGCUCACCAAGGCGACGAUCAGUAGCUGGUCUGAGAGGACGACCAGCCACACUGGAACUGAGACACGGUCCAGACUCCUACGGGAGGCAGCAGUGGGGAAUUUUGGACAAUGGGCGCAAGCCUGAUCCAGCAAUGCCGCGUGAGUGAAGAAGGCCUUCGGGUUGUAAAGCUCUUUUGUCAGGGAAGAAACGGUUGGGGCUAAUAUCCCCGGCUAAUGACGGUACCUGAAGAAUAAGCACCGGCUAACUACGUGCCAGCAGCCGCGGUAAUACGUAGGGUGCAAGCGUUAAUCGGAAUUACUGGGCGUAAAGCGUGCGCAGGCGGUUUUGUAAGUCUGUCGUGAAAGCCCCGGGCUCAACCUGGGAAUUGCGAUGGAGACUGCAAGGCUUGAAUCUGGCAGAGGGGGGUAGAAUUCCACGUGUAGCAGUGAAAUGCGUAGAGAUGUGGAGGAACACCGAUGGCGAAGGCAGCCCCCUGGGUCAAGAUUGACGCUCAUGCACGAAAGCGUGGGGAGCAAACAGGAUUAGAUACCCUGGUAGUCCACGCCCUAAACGAUGUCUACUAGUUGUCGGGUCUUAAUUGACUUGGUAACGCAGCUAACGCGUGAAGUAGACCGCCUGGGGAGUACGGUCGCAAGAUUAAAACUCAAAGGAAUUGAC
rnacentral:rRNA from 1 species